rfam:Asian citrus Psyllid, Diaphorina citri - Florida Strain, whole genome shotgun sequence.
GCUCCCAUGGCGUAGUGGUGACUGCACUCGCCUUGCACGCGGGAGACCCGGGUUCGAUUCCCGGCGGGGUCA